GCAAACUUGGUCAUUUAGAGGAAGUAAAAGUCGUAACAAGGUUUCCGUAGGUGAACCUGCGGAAGGAUCAUUAUUAUUUGAACUGGGUUUACUUUCAAUCUUUUUUUUUUGACCUUUAUUUUUUCGAUUUAUUUGAAUUGUGAAAGUAAACUUUCUUCAAAUAAAAGAUUAGUAACUCAUCCCCCUAUUUUUAAUAGGGAGGAGCAAGAUGAUUUUAUUUAAAACCAUUCACUCUUAUAAGAUUUUAAUGUUAUAUAUUUAUAAUCAAAAGAUCACUUUCAACAACGGAUCUCUUGGCUCUCGCAUCGAUGAAGAACGCAGC
rnacentral:misc_RNA from 1 species